AUAAGUAGAAAAUGGUGACAGCUAUGUACAGAUCAUGCCUCAUCCCCUCUCUAUUUUAUAUGAUCUCCUCUAUCCUGAUAAUUACUCCUCUGCCUCCUGCUGAAGAUUAUAUGAAGCACAUUCUUCUCUAAAGUCACAGGACUCCAGGUGAUGUAGCCUGGUGCACAGGGUAGGCAAAGCAUUCCAAAGCCUUCAGAGAUGCCUUGCACAGUGGCCAUCUGUCUCUGCAGUGAUAUCCAAAUAUACAUCCUCCAUUGCUAAUGUUCUUCCAGGGCUUUUGAUUUUUUCUUUUCCCAGUGCUCUUAUUUCUUCAUGAUUCUUACAGGAACGAAGUACUAUUGUGGUUUUUAUUCCACUAUCACUGAUGUAAAUAUUGUAAAGUUUUGAUCAUUAAAGUCACAGGAUGGUAUUAGAAAGUACAGUAUUUUCAUGUACCUGUAAAGCUUUUGUUUUUCCAGUAAAACUGCAAGGGGGUUCUAAUGUUUUGCAAAGAAAGUUGAAAAUAAUUCUUACAUAUGCAAAUAUUCAAUCCUGCAAACUGUCAGUUGUCACUUGAACAUGGCCAAGUUUUUCAUUUAUGCUAUUGAAAAAAAAAAAUACAUGACUGUGAGAAUGCUUGCUCUUGGAAAUAAAUGCUCAUCAAGUUCUGUACAUAAAUAAAGCAAAUGAAUCUUCACUGUAGAACCCAGGCCAACAUUUUCGGCUUUCUUCCCAUAACAAUUCCUCUUGGCAUAAGACUCCAAGUGUAUUUCUACAACAUACUGUGUCUGCAGAAAUUUCCUCAUUCUCCCCUCAGAAAACCAAGUAAUGUCUUGAAUAAAUCUUUGGCUUCAAUUU
ensembl:lincRNA 4930590L14Rik RIKEN cDNA 4930590L14 gene